AACGAACGCUGGCGGCAGGCCUAACACAUGCAAGUCGAGCGAAGCCUUCGGGCUUAGCGGCGGACGGGUGAGUAACGCGUGGGAACGUGCCCUUUGGUACGGAAUAGCCCCGGGAAACUGGGAGUAAUACCGUAUGUGGUCGAGAGACGAAAGAUUUAUCGCCAAAGGAUCGGCCCGCGUUGGAUUAGGUAGUUGGUGGGGUAAUGGCCUACCAAGCCGACGAUCCAUAGCUGGUUUGAGAGGAUGAUCAGCCACACUGGGACUGAGACACGGCCCAGACUCCUAAGGGAGGAAGCCGUGGGGAAUCUUAGACAAUGGGGGAACCCCUGAUCUAGCCAUGCCGCGUGAUCGAUGAAGGCCUUAGGGUUGUAAAGAUCUUUCAGUGGGGAAGAUAAUGACUGUACCCACAGAAGAAGCCCCGGCUAACUCCGUGCCAGCCGCCGCCGUAACAC
rnacentral:rRNA from 1 species